rnacentral:tRNA from 1 species
GUCAGGACGGCCAAGCGGUCCAAGGCGCUGCAUUCAGUUUGCAGUCUCCCCUGGAGGCAUGGGUUCGAAUCCCACUCCUGACA